rnacentral:rRNA from 1 species
AUUGACCGCUGGCGGCAGGCUUAACACAUGCAAGUCGAGCGAGCGGCGGACGGGUGAGUAAUGUCUGGGAAACUGCCUGCUGGAGGGGGAUAACUACUGGAAACGGUAGCUAAUACCGCAUACCAUCAGAUGUGCCCAGAUGGGAUUAGCUAUUAGGUGGGGUAAUGGCUCACCUAGGCGACGAUCCCUAGCUGGUCUGAGAGGAUGACCAGCGACACUGGAACAGAGACAGGGUCAAAAGUCCUACGGGAGGCAGCAGUGGGGAAUAUUGCACAAUGGGCGCAAGCCUGAUGCAGCCAUGCGGCGUGUGGGAAGAAGGCGUGCGGGUUGUAGAGCGCUUGCAGCGAGGAGGCGUUACUCGCAGAAGAAGCACCGGCUAACUCCGUGCCAGCAGCCGCGGUAAUAC